ensembl:lncRNA
CAUAUCAAUCCAAAUGCCUUAAGUAUUCAUAUUCGGGAACACGUUCGAUUGGAGAACCAUCUAAUGACUGAACAUGUAGUUCAUCUGAAACAUUCUUAGUUUAAAGACAACAUGUAGUUAGUUUAGUAUUACGUUUUAAAUCAGAUUCCUGCGUAGCUAUAAAAUCAGACUGUAGUGUAAACACAGCCAGAUCAGCAGUCGGGGACAAUAGAAUACGUCGUAGUAUCAUCAGCACACAGAGGAACAUUUUAGAACAGAUUGACCUUCAGUGUUUAUAUAAAUAGUGAAGAGAACAGGGCUCAAAAUCAACCUAUGUGGUACACCUUUAUGUACUUAAAAAAAAAAGGUAUAAUUUAACCCCAUCAAUCACAAUGGCCUGAGUUCUGUCACUAAGAUAAUCAUGAAACUAUGAACAGGCGACAGAGCUCAGGCCUAUCGAGGACAACUUAUUCAAUAAAAUAGCAUGAGUUUCAAAAGCUUUUGACAGGUUCACAAACAAAGGAUUGAAAAGACCAUUAACAACUGAAGUGGUUGCUGUAAUAGUGCUCUGCCAAGGCCUAAACCCUGAUUGGAUGUCCAGGCCUAGGUACUGAUUGGAUGUCCAUUCAAAAUACAUUUCUCAGAUAAAAAAUAAAAAAAAUAAAAUAAAAAAAAGAGAGAGAGCAAAGUUGUACAUUUAACUAUGGAUUCUAGAAUCUUAGCCAGACAAUGAAGGAUUCUAGAAUCUUAGCCAGACAAUGAAGGAUUCUAGAAUCUUAGCCAGACAAUGAUCAGCAUCACUACACUCCCCGUCCUUACCGCGUGGCAGGACAAAAGCUGAUUUCCAUACUUGUGGAAUAUUUCCUGGAAACAAUGUUACAUUUUUUUUUUUUUUUUUUAAGUGGGUUAUUGAGCCAAUAAUAAAGGGCGCUGAACACCUAAGCAGACCAGGAUCCAAUCGGUCUGUCCCUGUGGAUUUUGUUGUUGUCUAUUGCCAGCAGAAGCAUUCAGGACUUAUUUUUUUGUGAAUAAGCCUGAAAGAAAGGCUUUGACUAUCGUUUCUUCUCUGAUCAUUCAGUUUCCUCUUAUCAGCGUCUAGUCCUGUAUCAUUGUGAAUAGGCUUAGAAGUCAUUUCAAAAAGAGAGAUUGCCCGCUGAAAUAAAAUGGUGAUUAAAUGCAUCAAUGACGCCAUUUUUUUCCUUCUGUUAACGAGGCCAGUGCCUGAAGUAAUGUGUUGUGUCAGAAAGAAAGAGGUAGGGAAUUGACAGUUUUUCCAGAAUUCAGACGGGGUACUCAUUACAAUGCGAAAGAGUGGUUUACGUAAUAAUCCGAUUUAGCCUUUCUGAAUUGCCUUACACAGUGAUG